ACCGAUCAAUUGUACAUCCGCUUUUAUACUUCCAUUCCCAGACUCCUAUAUAGGAAUGAGCAAACGAACCGACCCGGCUUGAACCAGCCCGAACCGGACCCGACUUGGGAACUGAAACCGGCCGAAAUUAAGAACCGAAACCGAUCGUCGGUUCUACCGGUUCUUGUCGUGUCUUCAAUGUUGGAACCGGUCAUCGAGAAAUAGCAAUAUACCGUUCCAGUUUUUUCCGGUUCCUACCAAUUCCUAGUUCUAAAAGUCCACAAGAAUAUCAUCCCGGUCCCGGCCCGAUCGGUUUUAACGGCUUUCGGUUCCAGUACCGGUUCCCCGGUUCAAAUGCUCAUCCCUACUCCUGUAUAUCCAUCGUUUGCAUCUUCUUCUCUCUCAGCGACUCAAUCACAACACUAUGUAUCCCUUAUCUACUUUAAUAUGGAGGUAAGAAUGUGUUUCUUGAAUCCUAAUCCUCAAUUUGGUGAAAAAGAAGCUGCCACCUUCUGAUUUCUCUACAAUAUAUGUCUAUGAUUUUAGGAUUCAAUGAUUGUUCGAACAAUAAUAUGAGAUUUGGUGAAAAACAAGCUGCUAUCUUCAAUUUUCUCUACAAUAUAUGUCUACAAUUUUACGAUUUUAGGAUAACAAAUACUUUUUUUAGAAAUCCUUUUGAAGCAUCUUAAAUAUUAUGAAGAUUUAAGCUUAUAUUUUAAUUAAUUAACAAAAUUGUAACUUGUCAUUGUAUUUUGAUUGUGGUUUUAUGGGUGUUUGUAAUUAUGUAAUUGCUUAAUUUCAUUUUAUGCUAGGUCACCUUUUGGGUGGAGUUGCUAAUUCUAACAUUUUUUGCAUUUGAAUCAUGGCUCGG
rnacentral:lncRNA from 1 species